rnacentral:rRNA from 1 species
AUGUUGACUCAUAAGCAGGUCGAUUGGGAACCAUAUGAUGCCGAUUAUGCUUUCCGGCUGAACGAGAUGUGCACACGUGACAGGAAUAUUUGGCGGGCGAGAUGCCCACUGAUAUGCUUCUAUGCUGUCGAGUGGCACUACCCAGACCGUGUCGCAAGACAAUUUGGGAGAAGGCAAGGGACACCAAGGGAUGAGAGUUUCGAGACAAGCCAAUUUCUGCAUCGAAUUAGUCGAAAGAAUAACCCGGAAACUUCGACUUGGGCCAUCAAGCACUCUGAGUGGAUAAGUCUGUGGAAUCAAAGAGUGGCCCUAGUGGAGAAGGAAAGAAGACAACAUAGUGAUUCAGUAUACGAAGAGCAUCUGAAGUGGCUUGCGAGACGUUACCGGUUGAAGCUAAAGCCCGGUUGGAACCGUUCGGAAUUGGAAGAGUUGGAUCGUGAGAGCGGGUAUAUGGACUUCAAUGUACAAACGAGAGACAACGAAGGGACACAACUUGACUAUGCACAACUACACGACCGAGUGGGCAUGGAGUUAUUGCAUUGUGUUAACGAGGCUGGUGUAGCACUUGGUGAAGAUGAGGGAAGUGGAUCAUCUGAGAAAUCUCUUAGGAAAAAAUGA